rnacentral:lncRNA from 1 species
AGGCCCUCCAUUCCAGGUUUGGGCUGGCUGGCUCUUCCCCACCCUAUGCCUGGGUCUCAACUUUCCUUCCUAUGUGAGCCUGGCCUCUGAUCUCAGGAGGGGAAACUGAGGCUGGCACUUGCUGACACCCAGCCAUCAAGAGCAUCUUUAAGGAAGUAUCUUUUCUUUAUGAGGGGCCUUUCUCCAUCAGUAUCCCCUGCUGGGACUUACAGAUGUGAAUGUAGGGGAUCGUAGAGGUGGGUCUGUGAGAAGGAGGAAGGGAGUAAGUAUGAGUUUUUUGUGUAUGGGGAGCUGUGGCUGAGGGCCUGGCCAAUCUUAGUGCUGGUUCAAACGCAUGUGAGGCUAUCUUCUUGCAUAAACUGGUGGGUGUUUGGCACAUAUAUGUGUUCAUGUCUUAUCUUAGGGGCAUAUACGUACUUACUUGUCUGUGUCCAGAGGGAAGAGCUGUGUAUCAGUAUGUGUGAAUGUGUGUGCACACAUGAUUCCGUGUGCAUGUCACACCCUCUGUAUGCAUGGAGUGCAUUCUUGUCUCGCGGAACUCUGCACACAUAGUAAAUAUUUUGCUGUCGGUUUAUCUUGGCUUCCACAUGUCUCUCUGUCUCAGCUGCCCUUGGUCUGUGGUAUGUGGCUGUGAGCCUUUGCCUCUGCAUCCUGCCUGGAAUGUCACCCCCAGCAUCCUUCCCCACCUUACCCCAAGACUUGAAGACAUAUUAAUCUCAGGCUCAAGGUUCCUACUAAAAGGACUGCCAACCUUCUCACCACUACCCCCAGCCACUCCCCUGGGCCCCUCAGCAGCUCUGGCCCCCCAAGGAGGCCUCUCCCUGGGAAUCUCUGUCAGGGCUCUGCUGCUGCCACCACCAGAAAAACCAGCUCUGGCUCCAGGCCUGGCAACAAUCUCCACCGAGAGCUGGAGUAUGUGGGUGAGUCUGGGGUGAGAAAGGACCUAGGAGGGACGCACCGAAGCUCACCAUCCAGGACAGCCAGACCCAGUGACCCUUCCAACACCCCAGCACCCCACUUCAGCCAGGCCUGGACCAUCACAGAGUCAUCGUAUUUCAGAGCUGGAAGGUCAAUAGAGAUCAUCUGGUCCUAGCUCUCGGUCUACUGAAGUCUGGUUUCAUCGCUGCCCAAGGUUACCAAAUAGAUUAAUAGCAGAAACGGGAUCUGGACCAAGACUCCUGACUUCCCAGUCCAAGGAUUUUUUCAGAGACAUGAAACAUUCCAGGUUCCUGGGAGCCAUUAAGGAGAGUCUACACACAGAAGAGCCAGAAUGGGGGUGGUAGUGGAGGUAGGACCAUCUGAUCCUCAGGCUAGGAGCCUCCAGCCCCCAGAGCAACCUCAGCUCUGUGCAGGUUGUAGCUGCUGCAGCAGCAGCAGAGUGGCCUCCUACCAGGUGCCAGCUUCCUGGGGCAAUCUGGAGCCAGGCUUCCUCCCUUACUGCCAGGCAUUGCAUGAGGUCUAACUAGAAGGGGGUCUCCUGUCCCCUUCCCUGGGCUUCUCUUAGUAAGAACAGUUUUGCCAUCAUGGAAAAGAAAGGCAAGAACCAUGUGAUGCAGUCACCAUUGCAUCUCCAGCAUCUAGUAUCCAGGUUGUACCCAGUGUGCACUCAAAUGUACUAUUCUUCAAUGAACUUAGAGUGAGAACACCAAGACA